GCCAGACUCCUACGGGAGGCAGCAGUGGGGGAUAUUGCACAAUGGGGGGAACCCUGAUGCAGCGACGCCGCGUGGGUGAAGGAGCGUUUCGGCGCGUAAAGCCCUCUCGGCAGGGAAGAAGGAGGACGGUACCUGACUAAGAAGCCCCGGCUAACUACGUGCCAGCAGCCGCGGUAAUACGUAGGGGGCAAGCGUUAUCCGGAUUUACUGGGUGUAAAGGGGGCACAGACGGCAGCGCAAGCCAGGAGUGAAAGCCCGGGGCCCAACCCCGGGACUGCUCUUGGAACUGCGCGGCUGGAGUGCAGGAGGGGCAGGCGGAAUUCCUGGUGUAGCGGUGAAAUGCGUAGAUAUCAGGAGGAACACCGGUGGCGAAGGCGGCCUGCUGGACUGCGACUGACGUUGAGGCCCGAAAGCGUGGGGAGCAAACAGGAUUAGAUACCCCUGUAGUC
rnacentral:rRNA from 1 species